ACGCUCGACACCUACGGAAGGCAGCAGUGGGGAAUAUUGCACAAUGGGGGAAACCCUGAUGCAGCGACGCCGCGUGAGCGAAGAAGUGUUUCGGUAUGUAAAGCUCUAUCAGCAGGGAAGAAACUGACGGUACCUGACUAAGAAGCACCGGCUAAAUACGUGCAGCAGCCGGACGGUAAUCUGGAGGCCGGGCUGGACGAAGGC
rnacentral:rRNA from 1 species